UACGUAGGUGGCGAGCGUUAUCCGGAAUUAUUGGGCGUAAAGAGCGCGCAGGUGGUUGAUUAAGUCUGAUGUGAAAGCCCACGUCUUAACCGUGGAGGGUCAUUGGAAACUGGUCGACUUGAGUGCAGAAGAGGGAAGUGGAAUUCCAUGUGUAGCGGUGAAAUGCGUAGAGAUAUGGAGGAACACCAGUGGCGAAGGCGGCUUCCUGGUCUGUAACUGACACUGAGGCGCGAAAGCGUGGGGAGCAAAUAGGAUUAGAUA
rnacentral:rRNA from 1 species